rnacentral:rRNA from 1 species
CCUACGGGCGGCAGCAGUGAGGAAUAUUGGUCAAUGGGCGAGAGCCUGAACCAGCCAAGUCGCGUGAGGGAGUACUGCCCUAUGGGUUGUAAACCUCUUUUGUCGGGGAGCAAAAGCCGGACGUGUCCGGCUGUGAGAGUACCCGAAGAAAAAGCAUCGGCUAACUCCGUGCCAGCAGCCGCGGUAAUACGGGGGAUGCGAGCGUUAUCCGGAUUUAUUGGGUUUAAAGGGUGCGCAGGCGGAUUUUUAAGUCAGCGGUAAAAUCGUGGGGCUCAACCCCAUCCAGCCGUUGAAACUGGGGAUCUAGAGUGUGCGAGAGGUAUGCGGAAUGCGUGGUGUAGCGGUGAAAUGCAUAGAUAUCACGCAGAACCCCGAUUGCGAAGGCAGCAUACCGGUGCACAACUGACGCUCAGGCGCGAAAGCGUGGGUAUCGAACAGGAUUAGAUACCCCAGUAGUC